UCGUCGAGUGCAAGUGCACGCGUACCCGCGACUCGUUUCCAUGCCCCUGUCUCCUCUGAUUAAGUAAUUGCAGCACAGAGGUUUGCGGCCCGGUUGAAAGUUUUGCUGAAUCUGUCGGCGCGUUCGUAAGCGUGAAAUAACGUCGAACCUCAAGAUGCGAAGAUAUACGAUUAUCGUGGAAGAUUCUACUGUAAAAAUCAAAAGAAGUAGAACUUAAUCCUCAUUGGAAUAGCACGAAGUGGCCAUUUCCAAAACGUUGGAGACAUCAAUGCCUCGUAGAACGUGCGCCAUGUGAAAGCAUUCAGUUCACGUUCAGAUUCUCCUACAACCCUAAUGUCAGGAGAAUGAAUCUUGUGUUUGCAAUUCAAGAAUGCAUUCAACAAUACAAGAAUGUAAUUCAAGAAUUCAAGAAUGCAAUUCAAUGGACAAUUUAAAAUACAAGCCCAAAGAAGCAUUUCUUUUAUACACGCUUAUAACUCGAUUCUUUCAUCCGUGAAAUUUGCAAUAUUUUUCAUUGAAUCCUGUAUCGAGCAAACGUGAAAUAAAUUAACCGCGAAGAGUUGUUAAAAAGACGA